GAGCUGAUGUGGGACUGAGAUCUGCAUCAACAUGAAUGUUACAUGUAUGAAGUUCACAUGUUAAACUACGACAGUCACAGAUAUCAUGUGUGGACAUCAUGUGAUCCUAAAGUGUCUUAGUGGCCAUAAAAGAGCUUUAAUUCAUACUGAGGUCAGAGUUUGCAGUGAGCUGACUGUAUCACACUCAGAGCUGUUCGUAAUGUUCAGUCAUUGUCUUGCGUUUUGUGUUUCGAAAUGACUUAAAUUUCUAAGUCAGCAGGUGAGAUCAUGUUUCUGUGAUCGCUGCUCUGGAUCAUGUGACCUUUUUUCUAGGUUACAUGACAGGUCAGAGGUCAGCGACUGUAACUCAGUUACUUCUGUUAAUGUGAACUCACGGAGUGUUUGUGAUUUCAGACUGACUAAAGUCCACAAGAAGAUGAUGAUGGAGAAAGAGGAGGACAGAGCAGAGUCUGCAGGAUCCAGCUGUGAAAGUGACGACUCCAGAGAUAAUCCUCCAGACUUCAGUACUGAACCUGGACCAACGAGAGGUCAGAGGUCACAGUCUGCAAGGUCCAGCUGUCCGUCUGUGAGGAGUGACUGGUCCAAACGAAACCUCCAACUCAGUGGUGAACCUGGACCAACGAGGUCAGAGAGCUGUGAUGACUCCUGUACAUGUUUGUGUUUUCCUGGAUAAAUAUGACC